rnacentral:rRNA from 1 species
CGGCAAACUCCGUGCCAGCAGCCGCGGUAAUACGGAGGGGGCAAGCGUUGUUCGGAAUUAUUGGGCGUAAAGGGCAUGUAGGCGGUUCGGUAAGUUAAAGGUGAAAUGCCAGGGCUUAACCCUGGAGCUGCUUUUAAUACUGCCAGACUAGAGUCCGGGAGAGGAUAGCGGAAUUCCUAGUGUAGAGGUGAAAUUCGUAGAUAUUAGGAGGAACACCAGUGGCGAAGGCGGCUAUCUGGUCCGGUACUGACGCUGAGGUGCGAGAGCGUGGGGAGCAAACAGGAUUAGAUACCCUGGUAGUCCAC